AUUGAACGCUGGCGGCAGGCUUAACACAUGCAAGUCGAGCGGGGAAGGGUAGCUUGCUACCUGACCUAGCGGCGGACGGGUGAGUAAUGCUUAGGAAUCUGCCUAUUAGUGGGGGACAACAUUCCGAAAGGAAUGCUAAUACCGCAUACGCCCUACGGGGGAAAGCAGGGGAUCUUCGGACCUUGCGCUAAUAGAUGAGCCUAAGUCAGAUUAGCUAGUUGGUGGGGUAAAGGCCUACCAAGGCGACGAUCUGUAGCAGGUCUGAGAGGAUGAUCCGCCACACUGGGACUGAGACACGGCCCAGACUCCUACGGGAGGCAGCAGUGGGGAAUAUUGGACAAUGGGCGCAAGCCUGAUCCAGCCAUGCCGCGUGUGUGAAGAAGGCCUUUUGGUUGCAAAGCACUUUAAGCGAGGAGGAGGCUACUUGGAUUAAUACUCUAGGAUAGUGGACGUUACUCGCAGAAUAAGCACCGGCUAACUCUGUGCCAGCAGCCGCGGUAAUACAGAGGGUGCGAGCGUUAAUCGGAUUUACUGGGCGUAAAGCGUGCGUAGGCGGCUUUUUAAGUCGGAUGUGAAAUCCCUGAGCUUAACUUAGGAAUUGCAUUCGAUACUGGGAAGCUAGAGUAUGGGAGAGGAUGGUAGAAUUCCAGGUGUAGCGGUGAAAUGCGUAGAGAUCUGGAGGAAUACCGAUGGCGAAGGCAGCCAUCUGGCCUAAUACUGACGCUGAGGUACGAAAGCAUGGGGAGCAAACAG
rnacentral:rRNA from 1 species